CUUUUUUCUAGUUAAAAAAAAAUCUGAAAUUUAUUUUUUAUAAGAUAGCAUAAAAAAAAUAAUAUUUCUCUUUUCUUUUGUAUAGGUUUGACCAAGCCGAAGGGACACAUUCACCAAUUCUGGCGCCACAGUUUUUCUUUUUCGAUAAAGCCACCUGCGGUUUCACCACUCGCAUUAACGGCUACUUUUACCCUCCUCCAAAUCUCGCCACGUGUCGCUUUUGGUGGGAAUUGAAAUUCCAUGUCGCCUACGGAAGGAAUCACGGAAAAUGCAUUUUUUUUUGACAUUCGAAGUCGACCUAAGCUAAACUUCUUCAACGGCGUCGUAGGGUCAAAGCAAUGUACAAUAUCUUCGUAGACGUUGGUGUGGUGGGAUCAGCUGAAGAGGGAAUAUCUGGUCCAACCCUG
rnacentral:misc_RNA from 1 species